rnacentral:lncRNA from 1 species
UUUUCUCCCCACACAUCCAUUCUCUUACCCCUCUGUCCCCUCCUCACACUUCAUGUUUCGGAGUCUCUUUCAUCUGCCAAGCUACCACUGCUUUCUGCUGAGUCACGAGGAUUUUCUUUUCACUGUGGUGGUCACCAAAUAAUUAUAAAAAUGCUGCCAUUUGAAAGAUUCCUCAGGGUGGGGAUUGCCGUAAACCCUUUGCCUGCUUUUCUCUCAGUAUUUCUGAUGCUGGGUGCCUGCCCUCUUAGGCCACCACUCCAAUACAAAAUGAGCACUAGGCCUCCCUGCAUCACAUUUUCACUCAUAAACCCAGCAAGGCCAGUUGUCUAUACAGUUGCCGGUAUGGCCAUGCCAUAGCCUCCCCAGUGCUGCUUGGGAUCGGGCUGUGCUCAGAAUCAGUCCAGCAAUAGGCACUAUUUCAGAGGUGGGGAUUUGGGAGAUCACAUAGGGAAAUGAUCAAGAUUUCAGAUGCAAAAGAUGUGAGCCACACUGAGAGCUUUUACUUGUCCCUGUGAACACCACCAUCAUUACCACACAGCGCAUUUCCCCCUACAGGUGCUGCUGGGCUCUUGAUGUGGUCACAGCUGUCUGAGGAGAGCAGAACAAGCUGACAGGGAGCCGUGUCAUUGCAAUCAGGUGUUGCCCAAAAUUAAUUGAUCUGCAGGGUGAGAUGGUAGCUGUGCUGCUCCUCAAAUGCAGCCUCUGGCAGCUGAGUCUCCUUGGCUUGGUGCCUUGCAUGUCUACCACAGCACAGAAGAUUCAAGAUGAAGGCUAUGCUAACAGUAGCUGCAAAGGCUGCCAGGCUGGGCAGGUGUCCUCCUUCCUCUGUUUGGUGUUACUAUGCGGCUGGGGGUAAGUGUAUGCUCUAGAAGGAAGUUGGCCUGCUGUAGUAGACAGGUACACAAAGCAUCCAUGGUCUGCACAGCAACAAAAAUCAGCCCUCAGGUAGUUGCUGCCUGACAUGUUUAAGAGGGCAAUUUUCCCUUUGUUGAGAAUUACAUUGUGCACAUACCAAGGGGAGAACGUUCCCCUAAUUAGUUAGAGAAUACAGGCAACGAGUCUUUGUGUCAGAAAGGGCUUCUCUGCUUGUCUCUUACUUUUCAGGAGGGCUCCAUUUACACACACGGGUUGACAUGUAUGG